AGUAGCCGGCCUGAGAGGGUGAACGGCCACAUUGGGACUGAGACACGGCCCAGACUCCUACGGGAGGCAGCAGUGGGGAAUAUUGCACAAUGGGGGAAACCCUGAUGCAGCGACGCCGCGUGAAGGAAGAAGUAUAUCGGUAUGUAUACUUCUAUCAGCCGGGAAGAAAAUGACGGUACCUGACUAAGAAGCCCCGGCUAACUCCGUGCCAGCAGCCGCGGUAAU
rnacentral:rRNA from 1 species